UGAGUAAAGUGGCGACCGGGUGAGUAACACGUGACUAACCUACCUUCGAGUGGGGGAUAACCUCGGGAAACCGAGGCUAAUACCGCAUAACAUCGCAAGAUCAAAGCAGCAAUGCGCUGGAAGAGGGGGUCGCGGCUGAUUAGCCAGUUGGCGGGGUAACGGCCCACCAAAGCGAAGAUCGGUAGCCGGCCUGGGAGGGCGCACGGCCACACUGGAACUGAAACACGGUCCAG
rnacentral:rRNA from 1 species